rnacentral:rRNA from 1 species
GAUGAACGCUGACAGAAUGCUUAACACAUGCAAGUCAUUGGCGAAGCUGCGCUUGCGCAGUCUAGCCAAGGCGGACGGGUGAGUAACGCGUAAGGAACUUGCCCUGCAGACAGGGAUAACAGACGGAAACGACUGAUAACACCUGGUAUUGUCAGGCUGGCGCAUGCCGGCCUGAUGAAAGGAGACGCUGCAGGAGAGCCUUGCGUCCUAUUAGCUAGUUGGUGGGGUAACGGCCCACCAAGGCGAUGAUAGGUAGCCGGCCUGAGAGGGUGAACGGCCACAAGGGGACUGAGAUACGGCCCUUACUCCUACGGGAGGCAGGAGUGGGGAAUAUUGGACAAUGGGGGCAACCCUGAUCCAGCAAUUCUGUGUGCACGAAGAAGGUUUUCGGAUUGUAAAGUGCUUUCAGCAGGGAAGAAGAAAGUGACGGUACCUGCAGAAGAAGCGACGGCUAAAUACGUG